rnacentral:rRNA from 1 species
UACGUAGGGACCGAGCGUUGUCCGGAUUCAUUGGGCGUAAAGAGCUCGUAGGCGGCUGUUCAAGUCGAACGUGAAAACUCGGAGCUCAACUCCGAGCCUGCGUUCGAUACUGGACGGCUAGAGUCUGGUAGGGGGAUCUGGAAUUCCUGGUGUAGCGGUGGAAUGCGCAGAUAUCAGGAGGAUCACCGCUGGCGAACUCGGGAUCCUGGGCCACUCCUGACGCUGAGGAGCGCAAGCGUGGGGAGCAAACAGG